AGUGAACGCUGGCGGUAGGCCUAACACAUGCAAGUCGAACGGCAGCACAGUAAGAGCUUGCCCUUACGGGUGGCGAGUGGCGGACGGGUGAGGCAUACAUCGGAAUCUACUUUUUCGUGGGGGAUAACGUAGGGAAACUUACGCUAAUACCGCAUACGACCUACGGGUGAAAGCAGGGGAUCUUCGGACCUUGCGCGAUUGAAUGAGACGAUGUCGGAUUAGCUAGUUGGCGGGGUAAAGGCCCACCAAGGCGACGAUCCGUAGCUGGUCUGAGAGGAUGAUCGGCCACACUGGAACUGAGACACGGUCCAGACUCCUACGGGAGGCAGCAGUAGGGAAUAUUGGACAAUGGGCGCAAGCCUGAUCCAGCCAUACCGCGUGAGUGAAGAAGGCCUUCGGGUUGUAAAGCCCUUUUGUUAGGAAAGAAAAGCAGCAGGUUAAUACCCCGCUGUUCUGACGGUACCCAAAGAGUAAGCACCGGCUAACUUCGUG
rnacentral:rRNA from 1 species